UCAAGCAAGAAAGAGCACAGGGUGGAUGCCUUGGCACUAAGAGCCGAAGAAGGACGUGAUAAGCUGCGAAAAGCCACGGUGAGGAGCAAAUAUCCAUUGACCCGUGGAUGUCCGAAUGGGGAAACCCGGCUGAGAAGACCUCAGUCACUGUAUGCUGAAUCCAUAGGCAUACAGGGGGAACCCGGUGAACUGAAACAUCUAAGUAACCGGAGGAAAAGAAAGAAACAUCGAUUUCCUUAGUAGUGGCGAGCGAACGGGAAAGAGCCCAAACCAUUAUAGAGAUAUAAUGGGGUUAAGGACCACGAGAAGCGAAGCCGAAGGUAGCAGAAUGGUUUUGGGAAAGCCAGCCAAAGAGAGUGAAAGCCUCGUAUGCGAAACCGGAGGAGUAGCGAGUGGGAUCCAGAGUACCGCGGGACACGUGAAACCCUGCGGGAAGUAGGGGGGACCACCCCCCAAGGCUAAAUACUACUUAGUGACCGAUAGUGGAGAAGUACUGUGAAGGAAAGGUGAAAAGGACCCCGGGAGGGGAGUGAAAGAGAACCUGAAACCCUGUGUUUACAAGCUGCGGGAGAUGGAUGUACCGAAAGGUAAGCCAUCGACCGUGUACUUUUUGUAGAACGGUCCGGCGAGUUACUUAUGCUGGCGAGGUUAAGGCCGGGAAGGCCGAAGCCGAAGGGAAACCGAGUGUUAAGAGCGCGAAUUAGUCAGUAUAAGUAGACCCGAAACCGGGUGAUCUACCCAUGUCCAGGCUGAAGCUGCCGUAAAAGGCAGUGGAGGGCCGAACACACAUCCGUUGAAAAGGGUGGUGAUGAGGUGUGGGUAGGGGAGAAAUUCCAAUCGAACUCGGAGAUAGCUGGUUCUCCUCGAAAUAGCUUUAGGGCUAGCCCUGGUAUAGGUUAGCGGAGGUAGAGCACUGAAUUGCCUAGGGGGCGUCAAAGCUUACCGAAGCAUAUCAAACUCCGAAUGCCGUAUAACUGGUUACCAGGAGUCAGACUACACGAGAUAAGUUGGGUAGUCAAAAGGGAAAAAGCCCAGACCACCGGCUAAGGUCCCAAAGUGCGUGUUAAGUGGAAAAGGAUGUGGGAUUUCAGAGACAACUAGGAUGUUGGCUUAGAAGCAGCCAUACAUUCAAAGAGUGCGUAAUAGCUCACUAGUCGAGAGGUCCUGCGCCGAAAAUGUCCGGGGCUAAAACACGCCACCGAAGCUGUGGGAAGUAUCAUAAGAUACUUCGGUAGAGGAGCAUUCUUAAAGCGGAGAAGCUAAACUGUAAGGUUUAGUGGAGUUUUAAGAAGAGAGAAUGCCGGAAUGAGUAGCGAGAUAGAAGUGAGAAUCUUCUAGGCCGAAUAUCCAAGGUUUCCGGGGUAAAGCUGAUCUGCCCCGGGUAAGUCGGGACCUAAGGCGAGGCCGAAAGGCGUAGUCGAUGGACAACAGGUUGAGAUUCCUGUACUCCGUACAAACAGAACUGUGGGGACACGGAAGGGUAGGAAGAGCCGGGAGUGGAAAAACCGGUUCAAGCGCAAAGGAUAUCCCGGGAGGAAAAGCCCUCGGGAGUUUCUGAAGCGUGAUGAGGAGCGAAGAAAAAGUAGCGAAGCUUCCGAACCCAAGCCGUCAAGAAAAGCCGCUAUAGCUUUGUACGGACCCGUACCGUAAACCGACACAGGUGGAUGAGGAGAGAAUCCUAAGGCCGACGGGAGAAGCGUUGUUAAGGAACUCGGCAAAAAGACCCCGUAACUUCGGGAGAAGGGGUGCCUGUAGAGAUACAGGCCGCAGAGAAUAGGCCCAAACGACUGUUUAGCAAAAACACAGGUCUCUGCUAAACCGAAAGGUGAAGUAUAGGGGCUGACGCCUGCCCGGUGCUGGAAGGUUAAGGGGACGUGUCAGACUUAGGUCGAAGCACAGAACUUAAGCCCCAGUAAACGGCGGCCGUAACUAUAACGGUCCUAAGGUAGCGAAAUUCCUUGUCGGGUAAGUUCCGACCCGCACGAAAGGCGUAACGAUUUGGGCACUGUCUCGACAACGCGCCCGGUGAAAUUGAAGUACUGGUAAAGAUGCCAGUUACCCGCGACAGGACGGAAAGACCCCGUGGAGCUUUACUGUAGCUUGAUACUGGGAUUCGGUGCUGCAUGUACAGGAUAGGAGGGAGGCAGAGAAUCAUGGACGCCAGUCUGUGAGGAGCCGCUGUUGGGAUACCUCUCUUGUAGUACUGAAUUUCUAACCUGAAUCCGUGAACCGGAUUAGGGACACUGUCAGGCAGGCAGUUUGACUGGGGCGGUCGCCUCCGAAAGAGUAACGGAGGUGCUCGAAGGUAACCUCAGAAUGGUUGGAAAUCAUUCGCAGAGUGCAAAGGCAGAAGGUUGCUUAACUGUGACAGAGACAUCUGGAGCAGGUACGAAAGUAGGACUUAGUGAUCCGGUGGUAAGAAAGUGGGAUUGCCAUCGCUCAACGGAUAAAAGCUACCCCGGGGAUAACAGGCUGAUCUCCCCCAAGAGUUCACAUCGACGGGGAGGUUUGGCACCUCGAUGUCGGCUCAUCGCAUCCUGGAGCUG
rnacentral:rRNA from 1 species